rnacentral:rRNA from 1 species
GAUGAACGCUAGCGGCAGGCUUAACACAUGCAAGUCGAGGGGUAUUGGUUUUCGGACCAAGAGACCGGCGCACGGGUGCGUAACGCGUAUGCAAUCUACCUUUUGCAGAGGGAUAGCCCCAGAGAAAUUUGGAUUAAUACCUCAUAGUAUAGUACUUUGGCAUCAAGGAACUAUUAAAGUCACAACGGCAAAGAUGAGCAUGCGUCCCAUUAGCUAGUUGGUAAGGUAACGGCUUACCAAGGCUACGAUGGGUAGGGGUUCUGAGAGGGAGAUCCCCCACACUGGUACUGAGACACGGACCAGACUCCUACGGGAGGCAGCAGUGAGGAAUAUUGGACAAUGGGCGCAAGCCUGAUCCAGCCAUGCCGCGUGCAGGAUGACGGUCCUAUGGAUUGUAAACUGCUUUUGUACAGGAAGAAACCCUUUCACGUGUGGAAGAUUGACGGUACUGUAAGAAUAAGGAUCGGCUAACUCCGUGCCAGCAGCCGC